CAGUCGCCGCGGUAAUACGAAGGGUGCAAGCGUUACUCGGAAUUACUGGGCGUAAAGCGUGCGUAGGUGGUUGUUUAAGUCUGCUGUGAAAGCCCUGGGCUCAACCUGGGAAUUGCAGUGGAUACUGGGCAACUAGAGUAAGGUAGAGGAUAGUGGAAUUUCCGGUGUAGCAGUGAAAUGCGUAGAGAUCGGAAGGAACAUCUGUGGCGAAGGCGACUAUCUGGGCCAUUACUGACACUGAGGCACGAAAGCGUGGGGAGCAAACAGGAUUAGAUACCCCUGUAGUCCCUGUCUCUUAUAC
rnacentral:rRNA from 1 species